AAAAGUGACGGUGAGGAAACGACUGAGCGCCAGGGAAAAUGAAGCUCCCACGGGUAUACCUCACGUCUUGUACUUUGAGAGACAGGGUCUCAGCCAACUUUAGGAUGGGCGGAAUUGCGAGAAGCAACUUUGUGGUGCCACAGGUUUUGAUGAUUAUCUUGUAAGAAUAAACAAAGAGGCUCGACUCGGAGAGGACAUAAGAAUCAACAUCGUCAUUUGAUAGGGAAUCAACAAUGGUGCACUCAGCAGGUCCGAGAAUCUCAUCCAAUUGUGCCUUUGAGAGAGAUCGAAGUCCUUUUCCGUUGGGAUCAGCAAACAGACCAGGCUCGAAGAAAGAAAUUUCAAGCCUCUUCUCGAAACCUUCAAAACCAAUGGCAGAGACAGGCAAGGCCAUAUCCAUGAUGAAAAAUGUUCACAGCAGCAAAAGAAGUUAAAGAGGAAAAUGUUCCGAGCAAUGAGCACAAAAGCAGAAAGUAGAAAAGGAAGGAAGAAAAGGAGUGAGGGCGCAAAAGAAACUGAAAGCAGAAAUUUUUUUUGUUUUUUUUUUGGGUUGCGUCUAUUGACGCGUUAAGGACGAA
rnacentral:lncRNA from 1 species